AGAUUGAACGCUGGCGGCAUGCCUAACACAUGCAAGUCGAACGGGAGUAGCAAUACUCUAGUGGCGGACGGGUGAGGAAUACGUAGGAAUUUGCCCUUAAGUGGGGGAUAACCCGGGGAAACCCGGAUUAAUACCGCAUGACCUCGAAAGAGCAAAGUGGGGGAUCGCAAGACCUCACGCUUUUGGAGAAGCCUACGUCGGAUUAGCUAGUUGGUGAGGUAAUGGCUCACCAAGGCGACGAUCCGUAACUGGUCUGAGAGGAUGAUCAGUCACACCGGAACUGAGACACGGUCCAGACUCCUACGGGAGCAGCAGUGGGAAUAUGGACAAUGGGCGCAAGCCUGAUCCAGCAAUCGCCGCGUGUGUGAAGACGGUCCGUUUCGGGGUUAGUAAAGUCUAACGUUUAAGGUUAGGG
rnacentral:rRNA from 1 species